GACGAACGCUGGCGGCGUGCCUAAUACAUGCAAGUCGAACGCUGAAGAGAGGAGCUUGCUCUUCUUGCGUGAGUUGCGAACGGGUGAGUAACGCGUGGGUAACCUGCCUGUUAGCCGGGGAUAACUUCGGGAAACGAUAGCUAAUACCGCAUAAAAUGUAUAACCGCAUGAUAAUCCAUUGAAAGGUGCUUUUGCUUCACUACCUGAUGGACUUGCGUCGUAUUUGCUAGUUGGUUAGGUAACGGCCUACCAAGGCGACGAUGCGUAGCCGCCCUGAGAGGGGGAUCGGCCACACUGGAACUGAGACACGGUCCAGACUCCUACGGGAGGCAGCAGAAGGGAAUCUUCGGCAAUGGGCGAAAGCCUGACGGAGCAACGCGGCGUGAGUGAUGAAGGUCUUCGGAUCGUAAAACUCUGUUAUUAGGGAGGAACAAAGGUGGAAGUAAAUAUUCACGUCUUGACGGUACCUAAUCAGAAAGCCACGGCUAACUACGUG
rnacentral:rRNA from 1 species